AACGCGAAGAACCUUACCCAGGUUUGACAUCUUCGGAAGGCUUCCGAAAGGAAACUGUGCCGUAAGGAACCGAAUGACAGGUGAUGCAUGGCCGUCGUCAGCUCGUGUCGUGAGAUGUUUGGUUAAGUCCAUCAACGAGCGCAACCCUUAUAGUUAGUUGUAUUUUUCUAGCUAGACUGCCCUGGUAACAGGGAGGAAGGGGGGGAUGAUGUCAGGUCAGUAUUUCCCUUACAUCUGGGGCUACAAACACGCUACAAUGGCCGGUACAAAGGGCAGCCAAGUCGCGAGACGGAGCAAACCCCAUCAAAGCCGGUCUCAGUUCGGAUAGCAGGCUGAAACUCGCCUGCUUGAAGCCGGAAUCGCUAGUAACGGUGAGUCAGCACAUCACCGUGAAUACGUUCCCGGGUCUUGUACACACGC
rnacentral:rRNA from 1 species